CCUACGGGAGGCUGCAGUGGGGAAUAUUGGGCAAUGGGCGCAAGCCUGACCCAGCAACGCCGCGUGAAGGAAGAAGGCUUUCGGGUUGUAAACUUCUUUUCUCAGGGACGAAGCAAGUGACGGUACCUGAGGAAUAAGCCACGGCUAACUACGUGCCAGCAGCCGCGGUAAUACGUAGGUGGCAAGCGUUAUCCGGAUUUACUGGGUGUAAAGGGCGUGUAGGCGGGAAAGCAAGUCAGAUGUGAAAACCAUGGGCUCAACCUGUGGCCUGCAUUUGAAACUGUUUUUCUUGAGUACUGGGGAGGCAGACGGAAUUCCUAGGGUAGCGGGGAAAUGGGGAGAAAUUAGGGGGAACACCAGGGGCGAAGGCGGUCUGCUGGACAGCAACUGACGCUGAGGCGCGAAAGCGUGGGGAGCAAACAGGAUUAGAUACCCCUGUAGUC
rnacentral:rRNA from 1 species